rnacentral:rRNA from 1 species
UACGGGGGGGGCAAGCGUUGUUCGGAAUUACUGGGCGUAAAGGGCUCGUAGGUGGCCAACUAAGUCAGACGUGAAAUCCCUCGGCUUAACCGGGGAACUGCGUCUGAUACUGGAUGGCUUGAGUUUGGGAGAGGGAUGCGGAAUUCCAGGUGUAGCGGUGAAAUGCGUAGAGAUCCGGCGGAACACCGGUGGUGAAGGCGGUCUCCUGGGCCGAGGGCCGACGCUGAGGCGCGAGAGCGUGGGGAGCGAACCGG